rnacentral:rRNA from 1 species
UACGUAGGGUGCAAGCGUUGUCCGGAAUUAUUGGGCGUAAAGAGCUCGUAGGCGGUCUGUUGCGUCGGCUGUGAAACCCGGGGCUCAACCCGGGCCUGCAGCCGAUACGGGCAGACUAGAGUUCGGCAGGGGAGACUGGAAUUCCUGGUGUAGCGGUGAAAUGCGCAGAUAUCAGGAGGAACACCGGUGGCGAAGGCGGAUCUCUGGGCCUGUCCUGACGCUCAGGCGCGAAAGCUAGGGGAGCAAACAGG